UGCCCCUACGGGACGCAGCAGUGGGGGAUAUUGCACAAUGGGGGAAACCCUGAUGCAGCGACGCCGCGUGUGGGAAGACGGUCCUCUGGAUUGUAAACCACUGUCCCCAGGGACGAAGAUGACGGUACCUGGGGAGGAAGCUCCGGCUAACUACGUGCCAGCAGCCGCGGUAAUACGUAGGGAGCAAGCGUCGUCCGGAAUUACUGGGUGUAAAGGGAGCGUAGACGGCAAUGCAAGUCCGGAGUGGAAUGCGGCAGCUCAACUGCCGAACUGCUCUGGAAACUGUAUGGCUUGAGUGCAGGAGG
rnacentral:rRNA from 1 species